rnacentral:rRNA from 1 species
UACGUAGGGGGCAAGCGUUGUCCGGAUUUAUUGGGCGUAAAGAGCGUGUAGGCGGCCAGACAGGUCCGUUGUGAAAACUCGAGGCUCAACCUCGAGAUGUCGAUGGAAACCGUCUGGCUAGAGUCCGGAAGAGGAGUGUGGAAUUCCUGGUGUAGCGGUGAAAUGCGCAGAUAUCAGGAAGAACACCUAUGGCGAAGGCAGCACUCUGGGACGGUACUGACGCUGAGACGCGAAAAGCGUGGGGAGCGAACAGG